AAAAGUUUGGUCCUGACUUUAUUAUCAAUUAUAUCUCAACUUACACAUUGCAAGUCUCAGCACACCCGUGAGGAUGCCCUUCCCACUAAACCAGAAGAAGGAGCAGGUAUCAGGCACAGACUCUAGCCUUAAACACCUAGUACCGCCACACCCAUAUGGGCAUGCAGCAGUGAUUAACAUUAUCAAUAAGCGCCAGCUUGAACUAGUUAAAGAUAUAACGAGCCGGCCAACUUGUGUGCCAGCCGCCGCGGCUAAACCAGGGGCCCAAAUUGAUAAUUUUCGGCGUCAAGUGUGAUAUUAAGCUCCACCCCAAUUAGAGUCGACCAAAGAUCCAGUAGUGAUAAGCCUAUCUUAAUGAAAGCACACGCAAAAGCUACUCUAACUACUACUUAAUGCACGACAGCCUAGAGACAAACUGGGAUUAGAUACCCCACUAUGCUAGGCCGUAAACUUGAAUUACACCACCAAAUGCCUGGGAAUUACGAGCCAUGCUUAAAACCCAAAGGACUUGACGGUACCCCAUCCACCUAGAGGAGCCUGUUCUAUAAUCGAUAGUCCCCGUUUUACCUCACCUUCAUUAGAUUUUUCAGCCUGUAUACCUCCGUCGCAAGCUUACUGUGUGAACACAAAAUAGUGGGCCCAAUUGGCCGAACCCAAACACGUCAGGUCAAGGUGCAGCCUAUAUGAAGGAAGCAAUGGGCUACAAUUUCUAACAUAGAACAAACUAACAGUCACAUGAAACUGUGACUCAAAGGCGGAUUUAGCAGUAAGAGCGGAACAGAGAGCCCCUCUUAACAUGGACCUGGGUUAUGUACAAACCGCCCGUCACCCUCUUCAACAUUACCCCACUCCCAUAUUUAAUACCAAGCACCACCCAAGAAGAGGCAAGUCGUAACAUGGUAAGUGUACUGGAAAGUGCACUUUGAUUAA
rnacentral:ncRNA from 1 species